rnacentral:lncRNA from 10 species
UGAACAUUAUAUAUAAAACAAAUACCAGAAGACCCCAAAACGUGAAUAGCAGAAGACAGCUCAUCUAGGGACUUUGGGACACAAGGAAUGAACUGGUGGUGAAUUCUCUGACUUUUCUUUUUGCCUAAUUUCUCCCAGACUUGUAGCUAAAGAAGCUGGUAACAUACAUAGGAAUGCCAAUGGUUACAGCUAGAAAAAUCUGCAACAAAAGCCUGCUCUUUAGCCAAAGGAUCAGGAAAGGGGCAGCCUAGCAAGACAAAAAAUUUUUAGACGAUAACUAUGUUACUCCAGCUAAAUACUGCGGAAAAACCUAUGGCGCCACUCCCACCCCACCACUCAAGGCUGAAUGGGGAGCCUGUAUUUCUAAUAUAAUUUCGGUAUUUGUUCACACUCAAAUCUCAUGUUGAAUUUUAAUCCUCAGUGCUGCAGGUGGGGCCUGGUGGGAGGUGUUUGGGUCAUGGUGGGAUCCCUCAUGGCUUGGUGCUCUCUUUGCAACUGUGGGAGAGUUCUUGCAAGAUCUGGCCAUUUAAAAAUGUGUGGCCCCUUCCCCCCACUCUCUCUUGCUCCUACUUUCAUCAUGUGAAGUGCCUGCUCCCACUUUGCCUUCCACUAUGAUUUUUAGCUUCCUGAGGCCUCCCCAGAAGGCGAUGCCAG